rnacentral:misc_RNA from 1 species
GAUGAAGAACGCAGCGAAAUGCGAUAAGUAAUGUGAAUUGCAGAAUUCAGUGAAUCAUCGAAUCUUUGAACGCACCUUGCGCCCUUUGGCUAUUCCGAAGGGCAUGCCUGUUUGAGUAUCAUGAACACCUCAACUCUCAUGGUUUGCCAUGAUGAGCUUGGACUCUGGGGGUCUUGCUGGCCUAUGGUCAGCUCCUCUCAAACAAAUCAGCUUGCCAGUGUUUGGUGGCAUCACAGGUGUGAUAACUAUCUACGCUUGUGGUUUUCCAUCAGGUAACCUUCAGUGAUGGAGGUUCGCUGGAGCUCAUAAAUGUCCCUCCUCAGCGAGGACAGCUUUUUGAACGUUUGAUCUCAAAUCAGGUAGGACUACCCGCUGAACUUAAGCAUAUCAAUAAGCGGAGGA